rnacentral:rRNA from 1 species
AAUGAACGCUGGCGGCAUGCCUAACACAUGCAAGUCGAACGAAGGCUUCGGCCUUAGUGGCGCACGGGUGCGUAACGCGUGGGAAUCUGCCCCUUGGUUCGGAAUAACAGUUAGAAAUGACUGCUAAUACCGGAUGAUGACGUAAGUCCAAAGAUUUAUCGCCGAGGGAUGAGCCCGCGUAGGAUUAGCUAGUUGGUGUGGUAAGAGCGCACCAAGGCGACGAUCCUUAGCUGGUCUGAGAGGAUGAUCAGCCACACUGGGACUGAGACACGGCCCAGACUCCUACGGGAGGCAGCAGUGGGGAAUAUUGGACAGUGGGCGAAAGCCUGAUCCAGCAAUGCCGCGUGAGUGAUGAAGGCCUUAGGGUUGUAAAGCUCUUUUACCCGGGAUGAUAAUGACAGUACCGGGAGAAUAAGCUCCGGCUAACUCCGUG